AAAGGCUUAAGUUAGCAAACUAAGAGCCUUCAAAGCUUUAAUCAGGAAUUCAAAUUCUUAGCCUUUA
rnacentral:tRNA from 1 species